rnacentral:rRNA from 1 species
GUUAAUCGGAAUUACUGGGCGUAAAGCGCACGCAGGCGGUCUGUUAAGCUAGAUGUGAAAGCCCCGCGCUCAACGUGGGAGGGUCAUUUAGAACUGGCAGACUAGAGUCUUGGAGAGGGGAGUGGAAUUCCAGGUGUAGCGGUGAAAUGCGUAGAGAUCUGGAGGAACAUCAAUGGCGAAGGCAACUCCCUGGCCAAAGACUGACGCUCAUGUGCGAAAGUGUGGGUAGCGAACAGGAUUAGAUACCCUGGUAGUCCACGCCGUAAACGAUGGUCACUAGCUGUUUGGACUUCGGUCUGAGUGGCUAAGCGAAAGUGAUAAGUGACCCACCUGGGGAGUACGUUCGCAAGAAUGAAACUCAAAGGAAUUGACGGGGGCCCGCACAAGCGGUGGAGCAUGUGGUUUAAUUCGAUGAUACGCGAGGAACCUUACCAGGGCUUAAAUGUAGUAUGACAGGUUUAGAGAUAGACUUUUCUUCGGACAUAUUACAAGGUGCUGCAUGGUU